UACAAGUCCAUAAAAAGCUUCGCUUAGAAACAUAGGAAGAGUAAGAAACGGGCUGUCACCAGGCCUAAGACAAGGUCACUGGUUCCACUCCAUGACCCUGAAGAGCAUUCAACUCCCGGCGGGCGGCAAGCGGGUCACGCAGUAUGGCAUAGCAUCAAAAGCAACAGGUGAGCAUGCUUUUGGUUCUCGCUCACUAAGCAAAUGGAGCACAAUGUAUUAGUUAACGUUUCCUCCUGUGGACAAGCAGCAGCUAGAGAGAAGGGGCUCGCCGUGGCUCACAGCUGGAGCAGAUGAUAGCAGAUGCAGGCCGUGGAACGGAAGGCCAGAAAGCGUGGGGCCGCAACAGUCAGAAGCAAAGAGCAGACAGGAAAUUGACCGAGCUAUCAAACCUCAAGGCCCACCCCGGAGACCCACUUCCUCUGCCUCGGCUCGGGGUUCUAGAGUUCCACAACACCCCAGAGCUCCACCCGCAGCUAGAGCCAGACCAAGUAUUCAAACACAUGAUCGGGGAGGGGGUGCGUUUCGUGUUUAAACCUCAGCAGAAGAAACAGAAUGCGAAAUGAACUUCGGCGACACAGAGCCAUCCCUGGCAGUAUCCUGCGCCCCAGCAGCGCCUGCAGCGCUCUGUGACUAAUGAAAGCCGCCACAGGAACCUCGGGAGGCUUUAGAGCUAACUCAGCCGCGAGCAGACACCCGCGAAAGCUUACAUGAAGCCGUAUGCAAUAACAAGUCUGAGAGGCUCGCCAGUUUCCAAACCUUCGGAACCAACCAUCUCCCAGAACCAAACUGGGUCGUUUCUGGGUGAAGUUCUGGCUGGAACGGAGAGCAUUUCAGAAACGUCACUUAGAAUGACAAAUACCUUUCAUUUCACUGAGAGGGAAUGUUCCGUCACUCCAGGAUGUUGCUUUCAAGGAGACAGGACCAUCGCCACACCUGCCGCGUACUUCAUCACUGGCUCCCACAAAGUACCUUCAGUAGCUCUCCGAAUUUGUUGAAUGAAUGAAUCAAUGACAAUCCAAGUCAAGCCUCACGCAGUUGUCAGGAAAAUGGUGCUGGAGGCACCAGAAAGAAGGGACUUUGGGAUCUGGAGGAGCUAAGGACAUUUCGCUGGUCCGGAAAGCACUUGUCUGAAACACGAAGGAUGUGUGAGAGGUUCCAAGGUCCUGAUGAAGCCUGGGGGGAAAAUCUUCGUGUUCAAGGUUGACUAGGACAGCAGGAAUAGUGUACAGGGACCAGGAAGUCAUGGGAGGCUCACACAUGGACACCAGUGAGACGCUGGCUUUGUACUGCAACACUGAGACCAGGAAGCAGCUAACGCCACAAUCUCCAAAUACCUACAUGGUGUCUGGGAUCCCAACUCAUGUGACCUACAGUCAGGAUGUGUGUUCCUCUUACCAAUGAUAAGUUCAAGAAUCAAUGUGUAACAGAAUAGCAGAGAUAUCUUCAUGGCCAUUCAUUGACCCAGGCGAAGCUGUGUCCUCAAGUGGUCCAGUUACACAGAAAACGCAGAGGCUCCUCCCUGGCCCAGUCGUGUGGUAUGCUCUCCGAGCACCUGCUGGAAGUCGUGAGGAAAGAUAAUCUGAGGCUGUGUGUUGGCAGAGCUAGGACUGGGAGCCUAGCUGGAGCUGGAAGAGGCUUCUUAGGAGAUAAACAUGGUGGAGACCUUGAGACCUCUUGUGAAGGAAAUAAAAAGGCCUUGUUACGUCAGCCUUGUUACGUCAGCCAGCUGGAGUCAGAGCUAGCAGUGGCCUUCUGUAUGUCCUCUACACCAGUUCACAGAAAACAUGCAGUGACUCCAAGUGAAGGCCACUCGGUGCUCCCCUGGGAGUGAGGUAGAAGUCGAGAUUUCCAAGAAUCCAAUGGCUCCCUCGUAUGUUGGAAAAGAGGGAGAGGAAGGGGAGCUCCACAAAGGGAGAUGAUGGACAGCUGCUCUGAACAAUAAGCCCUUCCCUUCCGUGGCGCAGAGCAAGGCUGGAGCUGACAGCACCUGACUUACUUUGAGCUGCUCGAUCCGCACACUGCCAAGCUUCACCAUGAUCCAUUAUUUCCUUCCCCGAGUCUUUAGCCUAUAUUUUUAUUAAUUUAUGAGGCUUCUGAGUGUUUUCUAAAGCCUGAAAAUGUAUUUUCUAGGAAGAUAGCAAAUCAGAACAUGACCUUCUGAACUUCAAUUUUAAUUACAUAAUGUCUUUAUGGGAAACUGCAGUUUCCAGCCAACAAGGCUCUCUCUGGUUUACUGUUU